rnacentral:rRNA from 1 species
UACGGGAGGAGCGAGCAUUAUUCGGAAUGAUUAGGCGUAAAGGGUUGUAGGUGGUUUUUAAGUUGUAAAAAAACAGAUUAAAGCUCAACUUUAUAAAUUUUUCAAAACUGAAAAACUUGAGUAUAAAUAGAGGAUAAUGGAAUUUCUAUUGGAGGGAUGAAAAUAUGUUGAUAAUAGAAGGAAGAUCAAAAGCGAAGGCAAUUAUCUGGGUAUAUACUGACACUGAGAAACGAAAGCUUGGGUAGCAAACGGG